GACGAACGCUGGCGGCGUGCUUAACACAUGCAAGUCGAACGAAGAGCGAUGGAAGCUUGCUUCUAUCAAUCUUAGUGGCGAACGGGUGAGUAACGCGUAAUCAACCUGCCCUUCAGAGGGGGACAACAGUUGGAAACGACUGCUAAUACCGCAUACGAUCUAACCUCUGCAUCGAGGAUGGAUGAAAGGUGGCCUCUAUUUAUAAGCUAUCACUGAAGGAGGGGAUUGCGUCUGAUUAGCUAGUUGGAGGGGUAACGGCCCACCAAGGCGAUGAUCAGUAGCCGGUCUGAGAGGAUGAACGGCCACAUUGGGACUGAGACACGGCCCAGACUCCUACGGGAGGCAGCAGUGGGGAAUCUUUCGCAAUGGACGAAAGUCUGACUGAGCAACGCCGCGUGAGUGAUGACGGCCUUCGGGUUGUAAAGCUCUGUUAAUCGGGACGAAAGGCCUUCUUGCGAAUAGUUAGAAGGAUUGACGGUACCGGAAUAGAAAGCCACGGCUAACUACGUG
rnacentral:rRNA from 1 species